CCAGCUAGCCCGCGAACGAGCACGAGCAGAGGAAGGUGGGUGCGCGAGUGGGCCCGGGAGGGAGACACCUCCGGAAAGGGGAGCCACGCUGCUGUGCUGGCAAGACCGCAGUGCCACCUCUCUGGAGAAAGUCCUCACGCCCGCGAUCGCACGCACGUGCACACGGCCAGCAGGGAGAGCGCGAGCCAGAGCUUUUCAGUGCAGGGCGCCUUAAAGCCAUGGCAUCUGCCCUCAACAGCAAAAUCCAGCCGCCAGGAACCUGCGCGAGCUCUAAAGCCGACGCCCGCGCUGGCUCGGGCUGGAGAAUGGACUGUGAUCCCGAGAUGCACGUGAAAAUGUGCAAGAAAAUCGCUCAGCUCACCAAGGUGAUUUAUGCCCUGAAUACUCGCCAGGAUGAGGCAGAGGCCAGUGCCGAGUCACUAAGGGAAGCCCACCAGGAGGAGCUCCAGGACGCAGUGGCGGAAACCAGGGCCAGGCUCUUGCAGGAACAGGAACGCACCAGUGAGGAUGCAGAGGUGCUUCUAAAGCGCAUCCAGACUCUGGAGAGUGCCUUGGAGCUGCAGAAGAGGCUGACCCAAGAGGCCUUGGCUGAGUCAGCCUCCUGUAAGUUGGAAACUAAAGAGAGAGAACUUCGGGUGGAAGCUGAGCACGCUGAGCGAGUCCUGAUUCUUUCCAAGGAGAUGCUGGAGCUCAAGGCUGAUUAUGAGAAGAGACUCCAGCUGCUGACCAGCCAUGAGGGGCCCCAGUGGGGCCAGCUAUCCCAAGACAGCCCCGAUGCCACGGCAGAGUCCGGCCAGCGACCGGAGAUGCACCAGGUCCUGCUGGAAGUAGAGCGAUUGCGAGCUGAGAACCAGCAGCUGAGCCAGGAUUAUGCCCGCAAAGCAGAGGAGCUACAGGCCACCUAUGAGCGGGAAAAUGAGGCCAUCCGGCAGGCCAUGCAGCAGUCUGUCAGCGAGGCCCUAUGGCAGUGGCAGGAGAAAGAGUCAGGCCUUCGAAAGAACUUCCAGGUCCAGGAGUCGGCCCUGCAGGCUCAGGUCAGGAAGCUGGAAGGGGACCUGGAACACAGAGGGCGCAAGAUAAGUGACCUCAAGAAGUAUGCCCAGAAGCUGAAAGAAAGGAUCCAGGACCUCGAUGUGCAGCUGAGGGAGGCUCGGCAGGAGAAUUCAGAGUUGAAGAGCACCGCAAGGAAACUGGGCGAGAAGUUGGCUAUUGCCAAAGACAGGUUGAUGCUCCAGGAGUGUCACGCGACACCGAAAGCUGAUGACGUGAAGACUGAGAAGGAAGUCCUGAGGAAAACCAAUGACCUGGAAGCCGGCAGCCUUCACCCGAGGCAGGACCAAGGCUUGCCCAAGCUGUGCCACUGUGGUGAAGGAGGCUCAGAAACACAGACCCAGAAAGAAGCAAGCGGUGAAAUAGAACGCAUGAAGCAGAAAUACGAAGAAGACCUGCGUAAAGUCAGACAUCAGACUGAGGAGGAGAAGCAGCAGCUCCGGGAGCAGCUGGGGAAGCGCCUGGAGGACUUGGUGAAGAAGCACACCGUGGAAAUGAAGUCGGUGCGCUCGUCCGUGGAGGUGGAAAGACAGAAGCUGAAGGAAGUAGAAGCUCAAUUGGAAGAAGUAAAGACAAAAUCAGAAAGGGAAAUAAAGCAACUGGAAGAUGAGAAAGCUGCCCUCAGUGAGAAGCUUCAGAAUUCUCUACUUGAGGAUCCGUGCUCAAAGCCGAAGGAACCUUCCCAGACACUGACUGGAGAAGAGGGCCGGGAGCCCCUGACAGCUGAAGAAGGAACCAGCAGCGAUGAAGAAGAAAGGAUCGGAGAACCCCUCAAGGAAGGAAGUAACCUACAGCCUCCAUUGGGCUCUGGGCUGAAGGAGAAGGCAAUGGAGACUGGACAUCGACCAGAGGACUGGCAGAACCAAAAGGCCAAACUACAAACCCAGGCCACAGAGGAGCUCCUGAAGAAGGAGUCCAGUCACAGCCUCCAGAUCCAACACCAGGCACACCUGCUGGAGCUCCAGGCCCUAGAGGAGAAGGCCAGACAAGAACUGCAAGAGCCUCUCCUGCUUGAGUCCCUGAGGCAGGAGCUGACAGAGCAGCGAGCUGCCUGCUCUGAGCAUCAGAAGGGACUUGAGGUGCUCCAGAACGAGCAAAGGGCCCUGGGACCCUUGGGGAAGUGGCAGGCCAUCAAUCAGUGUCCAAGGAAUGGCACAGACCACACCUUCAUUACAGAGGAUGUGGGCGUUGUAGAGCCUCCUGGUUCCACGCCCUGUGCGGCCAAGAAGGGGCUCCUGGAGGAGAAUGCUCAGCUCCAAGGCACUGUAUUACGCUUGCGUGCAGAGGUGGAACAGCACCUGCAGGAGGCGCUGCAGCUGCGUGAGCAGCACCGGUUGCUGGAGGAGGACCAGAAAGCCCAGAGAGCCAUGGAGGUGGAGGCACUCCGCCAGGAGCACCGGAAGGAGAUGCAGGCCAUGGUGGCAGAUUUCAGUGGUGCCCAGGCCCGACUCCAGGCCAGGCUGGCUGCCCUGGAAGCCGAGCUGAAAGAUUCUGGAGAGAAGCCAGGGAAAGGAACUUCGCGGCCUGAGGACCUGCAGCUCAUAGGCCGCCUGCAGACGCGCCUGAAGGAGAGAGAGGACAUCAUCAGGCAGCUGACGGAAGAGCGAAGAUUUCACUAUGCGGCCUUCCCCAGUGCGAUGUCCCACCGGAAUCGGUCCUUCUCUUUCAAUCCUCACCCGGGAUACUUGACCCCUUCCAUGAAGAAAAAGAAGAUGGAGGAAGUGCCCAGCCGAGUGGUCAGCGUGCCAAACCUUGCCUCCUACGCAAAGAACUUCCUGAGCGGAGAUCUGAGCUCCAGGAUCAAUGCCCCUCCCAUAACUAAGUCACCCAGCCUGGACCCAAGCCCCAGCUGUGGCCAGCCUUACAAACCCACCCAGUCACUCGAUGGGAAAACUGCCACAAGAGCACAAGAUGGAGAACCAGGCCAAGCCAAAGAGGCCUCACAAAAGCAAGGUUCUCCGCAUCAGGAAUGGUUUACCAAGUACUUUUCAUUCUAAACUGGUCUUUGAGAUCUGUUCCAAUGAGUACAUUAGAAAAUCAUUACAACCAUCUGAAGGAAUGAAUUAAAAUCACCCAACCAGAAUUAUGCUAUAUAUUUCCACAUAUAUAAAAUGAUAAUUCCAAAAUGCACAUCUCACCUCAAUAUGAAGAGGAAUAAAAUAAAGCCAAUGAAGACAAAACAAACAAAAAAACAUCAAACCUACCAGGAAUGGACUGUAGCAUGCUUGGACUGCAUGUUUUGUUGCCGCCGACUAAGGAGGGACAACACCUACCUCACCUGGGACUCUGCAAGAUUAAGCAGUAUACUCUAGGUACAGCCAUCAGCCAGAACUGGAAUGCUCAGUGAACUACUGUUCCACCUGCCACACAUCAGCUUCAGCAACCAUUGUGCAACAGUCUUUUGUGAAGGAUUCUAGACUGUCCUCUGAUGUCAAAGAUUGCUGGACCCCAUACAUCUGCCUCAGAUGUAUGGCCUCCCCACCGCAUGGACUCCCAGGAGAACCGGGAACUGCCCAUGGUGCUGAACUUGCGAUCGGUCCUUGUCUUACCCUCUGACAGAGCAGAUCUGACACAAUUUUCAAUGGGUAGAUUUUUCUCUCUGGUGCUGGCCCAGCAAGUGGCUUAUCAACAGAUGCCAAUUCUAUGCAUUGUCAAAUAUUUGCUCUUUGAAUAAAACCCUAAACAACUGGGCAAUAAAAAUGGCUAUGGCUUGUAUAAUUAGAUGAAACAAAUUUCACAUUAAGUUCAGAUUGUCUACAAAUAAAAUGUAGAUAAUUAGAUCAUUUUUAAAGAAAUGUAAGUAAAAUAAGUUAAAAAGCCAAACAAGACUAUGUUGUUGUUGUUUCGGUGUUAGAACUUGAAUACAGGCUCUUCCUUGCCCCUGGUUAGGGAAUUGUUACACCACUGACCUACGCUGCCACCCUGCGAUAGAUGGAUGCAAACAUUCGUCAUCAUAUUUGGAAUGCCCCAUUAUUUUUCAGUGCCAACUUUUUCUUUCCUGCUCAGGAUGUGUCUGAUAUAACCUGAAGACA